rnacentral:rRNA from 1 species
AAACUCAAAGGAUUGACGGGGNCCNCACAAGCAGNGGAGGCUGUUNCUUAAUCGAUGNNACCGAAGACCUUACCUGGGUUAAAUCAUUAGGUAAAUCCACAGAGAUGUGGGGUCCUUCGGGGCCUAAUGAAGGUGGUUGCAUGGCUGUCGUCAGCUCGUUUCGUGAGAUGUUGGGUUAAGUCCCGCAACGAGCGCAACCCUUGUCAUAUGUUGCCAGCGGGUAAUGCCGGGGACUCGUAGGAGACUGCCGGGGUCAACUCGGAGGAAGGUGGGGACGACGUCAAGUCAUCAUGCCCCUUAUGUCCAGGGCUGCAAACACGCUACAAUGGCCGGUACAGAGGGCUGCGACACCGCGAGGUGAAGCGAAUCCCAUAAAGCCGGUCUCAGUUCGGAUUGAAGGCUGCAACUCGCCUUCAUGAAGCUGGAGUUGCUAGUAAUCCCGGAUCAGCACGCCGGGGUGAAUACGUUCCCGGGCCUUGUACACACCGCCCGUCACACCACGAAAGUCGGCAACACCCGAAGCCGGUGGCCCAACCGUAAGGAAGGAGCCGUCGAAGGUGGGGUCGGUGAUUGGGGUGA